rnacentral:lncRNA from 1 species
CGAAACUUGGCUGUGUUUGUUGUCAAAUGCAGGCCCCUUUCCAAGUGGUGUUAACAGCCUUCCCUUUUCACUCCGCGCACAUUGUACAGCCAGGGCUUUUCUGCUGCUCGACCGAGGAUUCUUCUUUUGGAGCUGCUGCUGGAUGGACUUCAGCUUUGUCUUGAUGUGGAGGAGAGCAGGAAUGCUGUCAAUGCCAGGCAUCAGUCUUUCUGUUGCAGACUCCAGGCAUUAUUGGUUUGGGCCCAGUUCCCCCAAGUUCUUUUCAAACCAAGUGGCUGUGCUGAGGCGACCCUGUGCACAGAGGAAAUGUGUCUAAGAGGCUAGACCAUGCUGGCAGACCUCCAAGCCCUUGUGCUGAUUUGCCCUGGUGGAGACUCCAACCCACUGUUGCUGUCUGGGAAAACCAGAUCCAUGUGUCCUUGAGAAGAGCACAUUGAAGAUC